rnacentral:rRNA from 1 species
UACGUAGGGUGCAAGCGUUGUCCGGAAUUAUUGGGCGUAAAGAGCUCGUAGGCGGUUUGUCGCGUCCGCUGUGAAAACCCGAGGCUCAACCUCGGGCCUGCAGUGGGUACGGGCAGACUAGAGUGCGGUAGGGGAGAUUGGAAUUCCUGGUGUAGCGGUGGAAUGCGCAGAUAUCAGGAGGAACACCAAGGGCGAAGGCAGAUCUCUGGGCCGUAACUGACGCUGAGGAGCGAAAGCAUGGGGAGCGAUCAGG